rnacentral:tRNA from 1 species
UUGAAGACCCCUGUCUUAGUGGUAGAGCAUCUUCUUCAUGUGGAGAAGGCCCCAGGUUCAAUCCCCACAUCUCCAGCUAAA